rnacentral:rRNA from 1 species
UACGUAGGGGGCUAGCGUUGCUCGGAAUCACUGGGCGUAAAGGGUGCGUAGGCGGGUCUUUAAGUCAGGGGGGAAAUCCUGGAGCUCAACUCCAGAACUGCCUUUGAUACUGAGGACCUUGAGUUCGGGAGAGGUGAGUGGAACUGCGAGUGUAGAGGUGAAAUUCGUAGAUAUUCGCAAGAACACCAGUGGCGAAGGCGGCUCACUGGCCCGGUACUGACGCUGAGGUGCGAAAGCGUGGGGAGCAAACAGG